rnacentral:rRNA from 1 species
UACGUAGGGGGCAAGCGUUGUCCGGAAUCAUUGGGCGUAAAGCGCGUGUAGGCGGUCCGGUAAGUCCGCUGUGAAAGUCGGGGGCUCAACCCUCGGAUGCCGGUGGAUACUGUCGGGCUCGAGUACGGAAGAGGCGAGUGGAAUUCCUGGUGUAGCGGUGAAAUGCGCAGAUAUCAGGAGGAACACCCGUGGCGAAGGCGGCCCUCCUGGCUCGAC